rnacentral:lncRNA from 1 species
GAUUUGAUUAACAAAGUUGGCCAUACCUUGAGCGAAUGGAUUUAUAUUGGUGGUGUUAAAGCUUUUGCUGAUGGGUCUUUGGGUUCCAAUAGUGCAUUGCUUUAUGAGGUGAGGCCAGAUAUUCACUUUUUCAGUUGUAAAUUAUCUGUUGAUAAUUUUUUGAAAAAUCCAUUUAUUUAUCUUUUUUCUGUCAUAUUUUUUGUUUUUAAAUGGAUAUGGGUUGGGAAUGACAAGGAGCACCUCAGUUUAUAGAGACUGAAAUUUAGCAUGGGGUUAAUGCACAUUCAAAUUUUGUAGCCAUAUGUUGAUGAGCCAGACAACUAUGGUUUAC